UUUCACUCUUAGCUUGGUUCUAAAGCUCCUUCGUUUCUUUCUCCCUUUCUCCCUCCGUUUCUUUCAUUCACAGAAACUCAGCCAAAAAACCCUAGCAAUGUAAGCCUACACCACCGCCGCCGCAAGGAGUGGCAUACUGAUGCCGUCCGUUCGUCUAUCUAGCUUCCCUCGUGCUCCAAGUCUCCAACCCCCGUUCGCUGUCACCGAUCGCAGCUGCUUCCUCGAGCUCGGCGUCCGUCGUCUUUGUCUGCUCAGCCGCGCUUCCGCCGCCGUUGGUUGCCGUUAACGUUCGCGUCUUCGUUCAGCCGUCGUCUUCGUUCGCAUUCUUCGCCGUUCAAGUUUGCUCGGCGUUCACCGUUCGCGUUCACUCGCCGUUCACCGUUCGCGUUCACUCGCCGUUCACCGUUCGCGUUCACUCGCCGUUCACCGUUCGGGUUCGCGUUCGUCUGGAAGCCACGUUGCCCUGCUUCAAACUCUGCGACCAACCCGUGCGCUCCACCUAGCUGUCGAACUGCUCUCUUUUGUCGCCGCCGAAGUUCCUUGAGUUCUC